rnacentral:rRNA from 1 species
AUUGAACGCUGGCGGCAGGCCUAACACAUGCAAGUCGAGCGGUAGAGAGGUGCUUGCACCUCUUGAGUGCGGCGGACGGGUGAGUAAUGCCUAGGAAUCUGCCUGGUAGUGGGGGAUAACGCUCGGAAACGGACGCUAAUACCGCAUACGUCCUACGGGAGAAAGCAGGGGACCUUCGGGCCUUGCGCUAUCAGAUGAGCCUAGGUCGGAUUAGCUAGUUGGUGAGGUAAUGGCUCACCAAGGCGACGAUCCGUAACUGGUCUGAGAGGAUGAUCAGUCACACUGGAACUGAGAAACGGUCCAGACUCCUACGGGAGGCAGCAGUGGGGAAUAUUGGACAAUGGGCGAAAGCCUGAUCCAGCCAUGCCGCGUGUGUGAAGAAGGUCUUCGGAUUGUAAAGCACUUUAAGUUGGGAGGAAGGGUCGUUACCUAAUACGUGACGAUUUUGACGUUACCGACAGAAUAAGCACCGGCUAACUCUGUGCCAGCAGCCGCCGUAAAAC